rnacentral:rRNA from 1 species
GACGAACGCUGGCGGCGUGCUUAACACAUGCAAGUCGAACGGAAAGGCCCUGCUUUUGUGGGGUGCUCGAGUGGCGAACGGGUGAGUAACAAGUGAGUAACCUGCCCUUGACUUUGGGAUAACUUCAGGAAACUGGGGCUAAUACCGGAUAGGAGCUCCUGCUGCAUGGUGGGGGGUGGAAAGUUUCGGCGGUUGGGGAUGUACUCGCGGCUUAUCAGCUUGUUGGUGGGGUAGUGGCUUACCAAGGCUGUGACGGGUAGCCGGUCUGAGAGGGUGACCGGCCACAGUGGGACUGAGAUACGGCCCAGACUGCUACGGGAGGCAGCAGUGGGGAAUAUUGCACAAUGGGCGGAAGCCUGAUGCAGCAACGCCGCGUGCGGGAUGACGGCCUUCGGGUUGUAAACCGCUUUCGCCUGUGACGAAGCGUGAGUGACGGUAAUGGGUAAAGAAGCACCGGCUAACUACGUG